CGCCGCCGCCUCUCUGUACCCGAACACCGGGGGACACAGCGGCUCGCCCUGUCCUGUCCCGGCUUGCCCUGCGCUCCGCUCCCGGCGCGCACUUACCCAGGCACUUGAUUCGAAAGCCCGCGGGGGGCUUGAGGGACCUGCGCAUCCAGCCCUCGCGCAGCACCUCCAGGUGCUCCUCCUUGCCCUGGAUCAGCAGCACCUGCUCGUCGAUCCAGCCCAGGAAGAAGGUCUCGGCCACCGCCGCUGUCACUUUCUUGUUCCAGAAAUGCUGCAUAUUCUCCUGCUUGAAGUCAGCGAAUAUCUCGUAGCCGAUGUGGUGGCGCUCCAGCGAAUCGGCGGCGGGUGGCGGUCCCGGCCCUCCCCCGGCUGGUCGCUGCCGCUUGCCCUCACCUUCCCCGUCCUCCUGCAGCUCCUCAGCGCAGUCCUCCUGCAGCUCCUCUCUUAGUUGCCUGGCCGGCUGCGAGGCUGCCUUCUCCCCGCCGCAGGAGCUCAGGACGAUGGCCAAGGAGUGCGGAGCAAUUUGCAAGAACUUCUCCAUCCUGCGAGGCAUCGCUGCGCCGGAGGAUACUUAAAGGGAGACGCUGUGUGCAGAAGCAACAGUAGCAGCAUGCUGCCCAGCCAUGAGCGUUCGACCACUGUACAGUGCAGCAGCUCAGCCAGGACCGCCCCGCCGGGCCAGUGGCAGGUUCAGCGAUUCUCCGCCUUCCCUCCGCUGCACGUGUGCGCCCGGCCCGCCUCCCGGCCAAGGGUCCCUCUGUGGCACCGCCCUCGGCGGUCGGCCCUCUCCCCUGCCCGAGCUCCUCAAGGGCCCUCCUGCUCCAUGACAGGGGGCGUGAGCUGGGCCGCUUUUGGAGAACGCGCGCAGCCUCCCUUUGCCAGCAGAUAAACAACAUAACUUUUGAUGACUACUCUUGUUGAAACUGGUCUAAAUGAAUUUAAGCAUAUAUGUGAGAAAGAAAAUGUUAAGAAAGGACGUUUAUCCUGAUGUUCAGUCAAAAUCCAGCUUCCUGCAACUUGAGCCCAUUAUUCCGUGUCCUGCACUCUGGGAUGAUCAAGAAGAGAUCCUGGUCCUCCUCUGUGUGGCAACCUUUGAAGUACUUGAAGAGUGCUAUUAUAUCUCCCUUCAGUCAUCUCUUCUCAAGGCUAAACAUGCCCAGUACUUUCAAUCUCUCUUCAUAGAGCUUUAUUUCCGAUCAUCCUUGUUGCCCUCCUCUGAACCUGUUCCAGUUUGUCUGCAUCCUUCUUAAAGUGUGGUGUCCAGAACUGGAGUCGGUAGUCAAGAUCAGGCCUAAUCAGUGCCGAAUAGAGGGGAACUAAUACUUCAUGCAAUUUGGAAAUGAUACUUCUGUUAAUGCAGCCUAAAAUAGCAUUUGUCUUUUUUGCAGCCACAUCACACUGUUGGCUCAUAUUCAGCUUGUGAUGAACAACAAUUCCAAGAUCCUUCUCAAAUAUAGUGUUGCUGAGCCAAGUAUCCCCGAUCUUAUAACUGUGCAUUUGAUUUCUUCUUCCUAGGUGUAGAAAUUUGCACUUA